AAUCAUAAAGCCAAAUUACAACACCCAAACGCCUGAGAAAUGAUAGAGAAGCCUCGGUGGAUAGCCCGCUCCCGGUACUUUGGUACAAACCGCCAGAGGACCCCUAAAACUCUGUUUCUAUAUGUAACUUCUGAGUAAAACCACAAAUAAAUUAAAACUUUCAACAACGGAUCUCUUGGUUCUGGCAUCGAUGAAGAACGCAGCAAAAUGCGAUAAGUAAUGUGAAUUGCAGAAUUCAGUGAAUCAUCGAAUCUUUGAACGCACAUUGCGCCCGCCAGUAUUCUGGCGGGCAUGCCUGUUCGAGCGUCAUUACAACCCUCAAGCCCCCGGGCUUGGUGUUGGAGAUCGGCCUCCCCCCCCGGGGCGCGCCGGCUCCCAAAUAUAUUGACGGUCUCGCUGUAGCUUCCUCUGCGUAGUAGCACACCUCGCACUGGAAAACAGCGUGGCCACGCCGUUAAACCCCCCACUUCUGAAAGGUUGACCUCGGAUCAGGUAGGAAUACCCGCUGAACUUAAGCAUAUCAAUAAGCGGAGGAA
rnacentral:rRNA from 1 species